UCGAGCGUCAUUACAACCCUCAAGCUAUGCUUGGUAUUGGGCCUCGCCACUCAUCUGGCGGGCCUUAAAAUCAGUGGCGGUGCGUCGUGGCCCUGAGCGUAGUAAACAUCCUCGCUAUAGGGACUCGGUGGACGCUUGCCAGCAACCCCCAACCUUCUAAGUUUGACCUCGGAUCAGGUAGGGAUACCCGCUGAACUUAA
rnacentral:misc_RNA from 1 species